rnacentral:misc_RNA from 1 species
GAUGAGGAACGUAGCGAAAUGCGAUAAGUAAUGUGAAUUGCAGAAUUCAGUGAAUCAUCGAAUCUUUGAACGCACAUUGCGCCCUCUGGUAUUCCGGGGGGCAUGCCUGUUCGAGCGUCAUUAUAACCACUCAAGCUCUCGCUUGGUAUUGGGGUUCGCGGUUUCGCGGCCCCUAAAAUCAGUGGCGGUGCCUGUCGGCUCUACGCGUAGUAAUACUCCUCGCGAUUGAGUCCGGUAGGUCUACUUGCCAGCAACCCCUAAUUUUUUUAAGGUUGACCUCGGAUCAGGUAGGGAUACCCGCUGAACUUAAGCAUAUCAAUAAGCGGAGGA